rnacentral:rRNA from 1 species
GUCUACGGCCAUGCCACCCCUAAUGUGCCCAAUCCCAUCUGAUCUCAGAAGCUAAGCAGGGUCAGGCCUGGUUAGUACUUGGAUGGGAAACCACCUGGGAAUACUGGGUGCUGAAGCUU